AACGAACGCUGGCGGCAUGCCUAACACAUGCAAGUCGAACGAGACGUUCGGGUCUAGUGGCGCACGGGUGCGUAACGCGUGGGAACCUGCCCGUAGGUUCGGAAUAACUCCCCGAAAGGGGUGCUAAUACCGGAUAAUGUCUUCGGACCAAAGAUUUAUCGCCUUUGGAUGGGCGCGCGUUGGAUUAGCUAGUUGGUAGGGUAAAAGCCUACCAAGGGGAUGUUGCAUAGCUGGUCUGUGAGGAUGAUCCGCCACACUGGGACUGAGACACGGCCCAGACUCCUACGGGAGGGAGCAGUGGGGAAUAUUGGACAAUGGGCGAAAGCCUGAUCCAGCAAUGCCGCGUGAGUGAUGAAGGCCUUAGGGUUGUAAAGCUCUUUUACCCGGGAUGAUAAUGACAGUACCGGGAGAAUAAGCUCCGGCUAACUACGUG
rnacentral:rRNA from 1 species